rnacentral:rRNA from 1 species
GACGAACGCUGGCGGCGUGCUUAACACAUGCAAGUCGAACGGUAAGGCCCCUUCGGGGGUACACGAGUGGCGAACGGGUGAGUAACACGUGAGCAACCUGCCCUUGACUCUGGAAUAACAGUUGGAAACAGCUGCUAAUACUGGAUAUUCAUCGUCUCCUUCCUGGGGGGUGGUGGAAAGCUCCGGCGGUCAGGGAUGGGCUCGCGGCCUAUCAGCUUGUUGGUGAGGUAAUGGCUCACCAAGGCUUCGACGGGUAGCCGGCCUGAGAGGGCGACCGGCCACACUGGGACUGAGAGACGGCCCAGACUCCUACGGGAGGCAGCAGUGGGGAAUAUUGCACAAUGGGCGCAAGCCUGAUGCAGCAACGCCGCGUGCGGGAUGACGGCCUUCGGGUUGUAAACCGCUUUCAGUAGGGACGAAGGGUGACUGACGGUACCUACAGAAGAAAGACCGGCUAACUACGU